ensembl:lncRNA
GGUCCCUGUGAGCGCAACCGAGUGAGGACAGAGCUCCAUCUGAGCAGGAAGGGACCACAGGACGCCUAUAAGCGUAAGCGAGUGACCACAGGGCCACAUCGAAGCAAGGAGAGCCUGCAGGACCACUGGGAGCUCGAGGGAGUGACCACAGAGCCACAUCUAAGCAAGGAGAGCCCGCAGGACCACUGGGAGCUCGAGGGAGUGACCACAGGGCCACAUCUAAGCAAGGAGAGCCCGCAGGACCACUGGGAGCUCGAGGGAGUGACCACAGGGCCACAUCUAAGCAAGGAGAGCCUGCAGGACCACUGGGAGCUCAACCGAGUGAGGACAGGGCUCCAUCUGAGCAGGAAGGGACCACAGGACGCCUAUAAGCGUAAGCGAGUGACCACAGGGCCACAUCGAAGCAAGGAGAGCCCGCAGGACCACUGGGAGCUCGAGGGAGUGACCACAGGGCCACAUCUAAGCAAGGAGAGCCUGCAGGACCACUGGGAGCUCAACCGAGUGAGGACAGGGCUCCAUCUGAGCAGGAAGGGACCACAGGACGCCUAUAAGCGUAAGCGAGUGACCACAGGGCCACAUCGAAGCAAGGAGAGCCCGCAGGACCACUGGGAGCUCGAGGGAGUGACCACAGGGCCACAUCGAAGCAAGGGGAGCCCGCAGGACCCGUAUGAGCUCGAGGGAGUGACCACAGGGCCACAUCGAAGCAAGGAGAGCCCGCAGGACCACUGGGAGCUCGAGGGAGUGACCACAGGGCCACAUCGAAGCAAGGGGAGCCCGCAGGACCCGUAUGAGCUCGAGGGAGUGACCACAGGGCCACAUCGAAGCAAGGGGAGCCCGCAGGACCACUGGGAGCUCAAGGGAGUGACCACAGGGCCACAUCGAAGCAAGGGGAGCCCGCAGGACCCGUAUGAGCUCGAGGGAGUGACCACAGGGCCACAUCGAAGCAAGGGGAGCCCGCAGGACCACUGGGAGCUCGAGGGAGUGACCACAGGGCCACAUCGAAGCAAGGGGAGCCCGCAGGACCCGUAUGAGCUCGAGGGAGUGACCACAGGGCCACAUCGAAGCAAGGGGAGCCCGCAGGACCACUGGGAGCUCGAGGGAGUGACCACAGGGCCACAUCGAAGCAAGGGGAGCCCGCAGGACCACUGGGAGCUCGAGGGAGUGACCACAGGGCCACAUCGAAGCAAGGGGAGCCCGCAGGACCACUGGGAGCUCAACCGAGUGAGGACAGGGCUCCAUCUGAGCAGGAAGGGACCACAGGACGCCUAUAAGCGUAAGCGAGUGACCACAGGGCCACAUCGAAGCAAGGAGAGCCCGCAGGACCACUGGGAGCUCGAGGGAGUGACCACAGGGCCACAUCGAAGCAAGGGGAGCCCGCAGGACCACUGGGAGCUCGAGGGAGUGACCACAGGGCCACAUCGAAGCAAGGGGAGCCCGCAGGACCACUGGGAGCUCAACCGAGUGAGGACAGGGCUCCAUCUGAGCAGGAAGGGACCACAGGAUGCCUAUAAGCGUAAGCGAGUGACCACAGGGCCACAUCGAAGCAAGGGGAGCCCGCAGGACCACUGGGAGCUUGAGGGAGUGACCACAGGGCCACAUCUAAGCAAGGGGAGCCCGCAGGACCACUGGGAGCUCGAGGGAGUGACCACAGGGCCACAUCUAAGCAAGGAGAGCCCGCAGGACCACUGGGAGCUCGAGGGAGUGACCACAGGGCCACAUCUAAGCAAGGAGAUCCCACAGGACCACUGGGAGCUCAAGGGAGUGACCACAGGGCCACAUCUAAGCAAGGAGAGCCCACAGGACCACUGGGAGCUCGAGGGAGUGACCACAGGGCCACAUCUAAGCAAGGGGAGCCCGCAGGACCUGUAUGAGCUCGAGGGAGUGACCACAGGGCCACAUCUAAGCAAGGAGAGCCCGCAGGACCACUGGGAGCUCGAGGGAGUGACCACAGGGCCACAUCUAAGCAAGGGGAGCCCGCAGGACCCGUAUGAGCUCGAGGGAGUGACCACAGGGCCACAUCGAAGCAAGGGGAGCCCGCAGGACCACUGGGAGCUCGAGGGAGUGACCACAGGGCCACAUCUAAGCAAGGGGAGCCCGCAGGACCCGUAUGAGCUCGAGGGAGUGACCACAGGGCCACAUCGAAGCAAGGAGAGCCCGCAGGACCACUGGGAGCUCGAGGGAGUGACCACAGGGCCACAUCGAAGCAAGGAGAGCCUGCAGGACCACUGGGAGCUCGAGGGAGUGACCACAGGGCCACAUCUAAGCAAGGAGAGCCCGCAGGACCACUGGGAGCUCAACCGAGUGAGGACAGGGCUCCAUCUGAGCAGGAAGGGACCACAGGACGCCUAUAAGCGUAAGCGAGUGACCACAGGGCCACAUCGAAGCAAGGAGAGCCUGCAGGACCACUGGGAGCUCGAGGGAGUGACCACAGGGCCACAUCGAAGCAAGGAGAGCCCGCAGGACCCGUAUGAGCUCGAGGGAGUGACCACAGGGCCACAUCGAAGCAAGGAGAGCCCGCAGGACCACUGGGAGCUCAACCGAGUGAGGACAGGGCUCCAUCUGAGCAGGAAGGGACCACAGGAUGCCUAUAAGCGUAAGCGAGUGACCACAGGGCCACAUCUAAGCAAGGAGAGCCCGCAGGACCACUGGGAGCUCGAGGGAGUGACCACAGGGCCACAUCUAAGCAAGGGGAGCCCGCAGGACCCGUAUGAGCUCGAGGGAGUGACCACAGGGCCACAUCUAAGCAAGGGGAGCCCGCAGGACCACUGGGAGCUCGAGGGAGUGACCACAGGGCCACAUCUAAGCAAGGGGAGCCCGCAGGACCCGUAUGAGCUCGAGGGAGUGACCACAGGGCCACAUCGAAGCAAGGAGAGCCCGCAGGACCACUGGGAGCUCGAGGGAGUGACCACAGGGCCACAUCUAAGCAAGGGGAGCCCGCAGGACCCGUAUGAGCUCGAGGGAGUGACCACAGGGCCACAUUGA